CCAGCACAGUAGAGGAAGUCGUGCUACCCCGCGGAGUUGUGGUGUGUUCUAGAUUCAUUCCGGCACCACCAUGUAAGUGUUUGCUUACCGACUGCCUUAAUUCCUGGUCCAGCUGUCCGACCCUGACUCUCUCCUGUUCCUUUCCUCAGGUCGAAGGUUUCCUUUAAGAUCACGCUGACGUCGGACCCACGGCUGCCGUACAAAGUACUCAGUGUUCCUGAAAGUACACCUUUCACAGCAGUCUUAAAGUUUGCAGCAGAAGAAGUAAGUACAGAAGUUGGAACAACCUUUAUGGAAUGCGGUUUGCCAAUAUGCUUCAAAUGUCUUUAAGAGUUGCAUGCACUUUGACCUAUCAUUUCCAUGUGGCUUCAUUACUAGGUUUAUGUUAUCAAAAAGUAGGAUGAUAGUUAAGACUUACUUUCAGAUAUAAGAAGCAUGAGUUAAACAAAUUGACAUAUCUGAUUAAUGCAACCGUUGAAAAUUAUAAGAAUUUAAUGAAUUUUUAUGAAAAUUAAAAAGGUACUGAUUUUUAAAUGUUUUUUAAAAUGCAACAUUAUACCACAUUAUAUUCUAUAUACUCAUAUUUUACUAGUCUUGAUUCCAAAAUUACAAUUUCCUAAAAUCUUCAUCAUAGUUUUCAAAUUUUCUAUAUGAGCAUGUGGACUGUCAGUAAAAUUUGUUGUUUUGAAAAGUUUCUAGUUUUUUAAAACGUUUGAGUUUUCUGUUUCAUAAGAAACAAUUUUUUUCAUCCAAAAUUAUUAGAAAUAUCUAUAAUGCAACUUUUUGGACAUGACACUUGAAAAAGUAGCUUGAUCUGGUAGAAAUGGCACCCAAAUGUG
rnacentral:sRNA from 1 species